rnacentral:pre_miRNA from 1 species
AGCUUUCUGAAUCCGUGCUGAGAUUUCGUUGAACAUCAAUCCAUUAGGGCUGAUCAGACUUCCAAAAUAAGUGGAGAU